rnacentral:misc_RNA from 1 species
AACGUAGGGGGCAAGCGUUGCCCGGAUUCACUGGGCGUAAAGCGGGUGUAGGCGGUUCGUCAAGUCGGAUGUGAAAUCCCACGGCUUAACCGUGGAAUUGCAUUCGAUACUGGCGAACUUGAGGACGGUAGAGGCCGGUGGAAUUCCCUGUGUACCGGUGAAAUGGGCAGAUAUCGGGAGGAACACCAGUGGCGAAGGCGGCCGGCUGGGCCGAUCCUGACGCUGAGACCCGAAAGCCAGGGGAGCGAACCGG